GACGAACGCUGGCGGCGUGCUUAACACAUGCAAGUCGAACGCUGAAGACCUGGCUUUUGUUGGGUUGGAUGAGUGGCGAACGGGUGAGUAACACGUGAGUAACCUGCCCUCUUCUUUGGGAUAACGCCCGGAAACGGGUGCUAAUACUGGAUAUUCACUGAUCUUCGCAUGGGGGUUGGUGGAAAGGUUUGUUCUGGUGGGGGAUGGGCUCGCGGCCUAUCAGCUUGUUGGUGGGGUGAUGGCCUACCAAGGCUUUGACGGGUAGCCGGCCUGGGAGGGUGACCGGUCACAUUGGGACGGGGAUACGGCCCAGACUCCUACGGGAGGCAGCAGUGGGGAAUAUUGCACAAUGGGCGAAAGCCUGAUGCAGCGACGCCGCGUGAGGGAUGGAGGCCUUCGGGUUGUAAACCUCUUUCGCUCAUGGUCAAGCCGCAACUGUGGGUUGUGGUGAGGGUAGUGGGUAAAGAAGCGCCGGCUAACUACGUG
rnacentral:rRNA from 1 species